AUGCGAGGGGCAGGGAAACCUGAGAGCAGGGCAAGAAGACACAGCCACUCUGCCGCGGAGCACAACACAUGCAUUCAGAACCAUGCCUCAGAUCUGCAGGAAAUACUGACGGCCUUCUGGACUCAAGGAAACUGGGACCCCAAAAAGCAGAACCACUGGAUCAACACUACACAGCUACCAGAACAAGGCCAGACCUCAGGGGGCCAACUCCUCAAUUGUGACUUCUCUUCUUACUGCUCACAUAGCUCCAUGCUCUGGCAAAGCUGGUCCCAGAAAAGACCGUGAAACUUAUUGACUCAAAAGCUCUGCGAGUCCAGUAGGACUGCUGGGAUGUUUGCAUUUUCACUGAGGUAGAGAAAAUAAAAACAGAUGAAGGGCUUCGUUGGUAUUAUUUUAAAAGGUGCAUUCAUUUAAACAAACUUUAAAUCCCGCCAGGCGACUACUAGUACUUACACCAGCGAGGCUGGCCUGGGCAAUAACACCUGAGACAACUCCUGUUUCAUCGUAAUUAAUCUUUCUUCCUGGCCUUCCCUUCACCAGCCAAGUUGCACAAUCCAUCUCACUACCGCUGUCAGACAC
rnacentral:lncRNA from 1 species